UACGUAGGGGGCAAGCGUUGUCCGGAUUCAUUGGGCGUAAAGAGCGUGUAGGCGGCCAGGUAGGUCGGUUGUGAAAACUGGAGGCUCAACCUUCAGAGGUCGACCGAAACCAUCUGGCUAGAGUCCGGGAGAGGAGAGUGGAAUUCCUGGUGUAGCGGUGAAAUGCGUAGAGAUCAGGAAGAACACCGGUGGCGAAGGCGCUCUGCUAGGCCGCAACUGACACUGAGGGACGAAAGCUAGGGGAGCGAAUGGG
rnacentral:rRNA from 1 species